UACGUAGGGGGCAAGCGUUGUCCGGAAUUAUUGGGCGUAAAGAGCUCGUAGGCGGUUCGUCGCGUCGGCUGUGAAAACCCGGAGCUCAACUCCGGGCCUGCAGUCGAUACGGGCGGACUUGAGUGUUGCAGGGGAGACUGGAAUUCCUGGUGUAGCGGUGAAAUGCGCAGAUAUCAGGAGGAACACCGGUGGCGAAGGCGGGUCUCUGGGCAACAACUGACGCUGAGGAGCGAAAGCGUGGGGAGCGAACAGG
rnacentral:rRNA from 1 species